GUGAGCAACUUGAUGUUAAAAAAAUGACUAAAACAGUGCCAGAGCUACUGAGGGAGGCCGCUGCUGCUUUGGAACAUCACCAAGUUCCUUCUUCCAACACAUCAGUGGCAACACCUAAUGCUCCUGAGCGCCGUAACAAUGCUCGAGCUGAGGUUUUGAGGUUGUUCAGUCCUUACCCUGCACGAGGUGUACAACGGAAGUCAACCUCAUCAGCCACCAUGACCCAAAAAUUAAAAAAGACCACAUACACUCACAUUUUCUUCUGCCUGGCUAAAAGAAAGGGCAGUGAUGCCCCAACCCCAGCAGCAAAAAGAGCACUUGAAGGGCAGGUUUAGGGGAAAGAAAAAUCACAUUCCCAGAUAAAUACUGUGGUGCAUCUGACUUUUCCGAUCACCUAGAGUUGAACUUUCCACAACUAAAGCACUGUGGUGGGUUUCAACUCCUUCGGAGCCGGGGCUCUACAAGGUCCAAGGUCUUGGAAAUCAUUCCUUGCCCACAUAAUGGGUAUACUCCAGAGGGCCUGUGCAACAAAGAACUUGGAGUGGGACAAGCUGCGAUUUACAUAAGGCCACUCCAAAAAGAUAUUGACCUGCAGGAUCCUCCCAGUGUGACCCUCACUCCUCAAACAACUGGACCAAUGGUGGAAUGUGUCUACUGUGCAGAGAUAUUUAGCUUCUCUGAGAUUCAAGGCCACAUUGACUGUUGUGAGAAAAAAAAUUAUUCAGAUUCAACUGCUGAAAAAACCCUUGAGAAUACCCCGUCAGGAAGCUCAGAAGAGACCCAGGCAGGAACCUCAGCUGCUGCUAGCUCAUCAAGCAACCAAAAUCCACUUGAAGAAAAUCUAAGUAGUAGCUCUAAAGAGUGGACAACAGAGCCUGAUGUUUACAAGGCAGCCAACAUGUUUUGCCGUCACUUGCUUAACAAUGCUGAACUCAAGCCAGGGUUGGUUGCCAGGCUUGAUCUCGGAUCCACUGAGGAAGAUCGUGAAAGGGAGAUUCUAACUUUCUACAAAAAAACAGGAAUUGACUGGGCAAGCCCAUUUUCUGUUAUACUGACUGAGUAACUCCUUGUAUUUCAGGUGAUGCAGCUAUUGGAGAUGGUGUAAAACGACAUUUCCUGUCUAUGGUAAUGGAAAAAAUCCAGUUUGGUUUCGACCUUGACUUCGAGAACACUACCAGAACUCUUCUGUUCAAUGGGACAGGCGAUCACAAGGUCCCAUCCACUUCCAAAGCCCUGAUAGUUGGAGACCUUUUCCGAGUAGCUGGACGUGCCAUAGGACAUUCUUUUAUUCAUGGAGGUCUGGACUGAGUCCAGCAAUGUUGCAGCUAAUUGUUGGAAGUAACGAGGAGUCUGCUGCACUUGAGGUUGCUGACUGCCCUGAUACAGAUGUUGUUGAUGUGGUGUCUGUACUUGAUAGUCAGAGAGAACUGACCCCACAGGAACAAUGCGAGGUGAACAACUUGGCCUUCAGUUGGGAUCUUCCUCCCAUCAAUAAUAACAACAGGAGGUGGUUGGCAGAGAAAAUCCUACAGCAUGCGGUCAUUGAACGGAGAAGAACACAAAUGAAGCAGCUCCGUAGGGGGCUGAAAGAGAGCGGUGUUGUCACUAUGAUUAAAGAGCGUCCAGCCCUAUCCGAGGUCUUUUUCCCAAGAUCAGCAGAACAAGUGAUGGACUCACAGACCAUCUUGAAAAGGAUCAUCUGGCCAAUGCCAGAUAGUGAGGAUGAGGAUGACCACAGCAACGUGGAGGAGACAUGCCUGGUCACAGGCUUUUUGAGAGACUACAUUGAAAAAGGGUCUUCUCAGGAAGUCCAACUACUCCUGAAGUUCUGGACAGGUUGGAGUAUACCUCCCCAGCACCUUUAUGUUGAAGUAUCUCCGGAAAUUACUCUGCCAGUCGCCUCAACCUGCCUCACAACGCUGAAACUCCCACUGAAGUGCCAAAGUUACCAGGCAUUCGAAGAAAACUUGGAAGCAUCUAUGAGAUCUACAGAGUUCGGGUUUGGACUGAUCUGAGAAACUGUCUUUAAAGCAGAGGUAGGCAGUAAGAGAAACCUAACUCCCACAUUUCCACACCUGGUUUGUAGUUUUUGUAAAUUUUUGUGAUGCUUCUCUUUAUUUUUCAACAGUCUGUAAAAAGAUAGUUCUACUCUCAUGUUGAAUAUAUUUGUAUAGUCAAUCAUACAUAAGUACCUCCAUAAGGAAAUGUCCCCUUAAACCGUUUAAU